rnacentral:rRNA from 1 species
UACAGAGGGUGCAAGCGUUAAUCGGAAUUACUGGGCGUAAAGCGCACGUAGGCGGUUGGUUAAGUUGGAUGUGAAAGCCCCGGGCUCAACCUGGGAACUGCUUUCAAAACUGCUGAGCUAGAGUACGGUAGAGGGUCGUGGAAUUUCCUGUGUAGCGGUGAAAUGCGUAGAUAUAGGAAGGAACACCAGUGGCGAAGGCGACCACCUGGACUGAUACUGACACUGAGGUGCGAAAGCGUGGGGAGCAAACAGG